GGACUACAGGGGUAUCUAAUCCUGUUCGCUCCCCACGCUUUCGCUCCUCAGCGUCAGUAUCGGCCCAGAGACCCGCCUUCGCCACCGGUGUUCCUCCUGAUAUCUGCGCAUUUCACCGCUACACCAGGAAUUCCAGUCUCCCCUACCGAACUCUAGCCUGCCCGUAUCGACUGCAAGCUCAGAGUUGAGCCCUGAGUUUUCACAGUCGACGCGACAAGCCGCCUACGAGCUCUUUACGCCCAAUAAAUCCGGACAACGCUCGCGCCCUACGUCUUACCGCGGCUGCUGGCAC
rnacentral:rRNA from 1 species